AUGUGCCCAGUAACCAUUUUAUUUAUCUACUUAUCAUGUUGUUAUUAUUACUUCAAAUUUCUUAGAUCCCCAGAGAAACUCCAAGGCUUCUCCAAACCCCCCCUCUGCCUUCCGAAAGGAGAGGAGAAAGGAGAGCCUGGGAGAAACGAGGCAGUGCCCCCAGCAGUCCAGAGGAGCCAGAGCCACCGGGUGCCUGGGGAUCGUGCAGAGCACGCGGCACCCUCGGGACGCCGGCCAGUCCCUGGCCCAGGGGGGGCUUCACACCCGGGCGCCCGGCGCGCAGGUGGGCGCAGGUGGACGCGGCGGCGCGGCGGAGCCAGGCCAGGCCUCCGGAAGGCGGAAGCCCGGAGCGUCGCCUGUCGCCGCCCUCGGCGUUCAAAGGGAAACUGGUUUUCGCCCGGGCUGGGGGAGGGGGCAGGCAGGAGUCGGCGGUAAGCUCCAGACGUAUCCUUACGGGGCGCGUUAAGCGGCGGGUACCCCGGCCUGCCCUGAAGCUCGCAGCGGUCCCGCACCGCCCAGGGUGGCC
rnacentral:lncRNA from 1 species